AGCGACUUAUAUUCUGUAGCAAGGUUAACCGUAUAGGGGAGCCGAAGGGAAACCGAGUCUUAACCGGGCGUUAAGUUGCAGGGUAUAGACCCGAAACCCGGUGAUCUAGCCAUGGGCAGGUUGAAGGUUGGGUAACACUAACUGGAGGACCGAACCGACUAAUGUUGAAAAAUUAGCGGAUGACCUGUGGCUGGGGGUGAAAGGCCAAUCAAACCGGGAGAUAGCUGGUUCUCCCCGAAAGCUAUUUAGGUAGCGCCUCGUGAAUUCAUCUCCGGGGGUAGAGCACUGUUUCGGCUAGGGGGCCAUCCCGGCUUACCAACCCGAUGCAAACUGCGAAUACCGGAGAAUGUUAUCACGGGAGACACACGGCGGGUGCUAACGUCCGUCGUGAAGAGGGAAACAACCCAGACCGCCAGCUAAGGUCCCAAAGUCAUGGUUAAGUGGGAAACGAUGUGGGAAGGCCCAGACAGCCAGGAUGUUGGCUUAGAAGCAGCCAUCAUUUAAAGAAAGCGUAAUAGCUCACUGGUCGAGUCGGCCUGCGCGGAAGAUGUAACGGGGCUAAACCAUGCACCGAAGCUGCGGCAGCGACGCUGAUGCGUUGUUGGGUAGGGGAGCGUUCUGUAAGCCUGCGAAGGUGGCCUGUGAGGGUUGCUGGAGGUAUCAGAAGUGCGAAUGCUGACAUAAGUAACGAUAAAGCGGGUGAAAAGCCCGCUCGCCGGAAGACCAAGGGUUCCUGUCCAACGUUAAUCGGGGCAGGGUGAGUCGACCCCUAAGGCGAGGCCGAAAGGCGUAGUCGAUGGGAAACGGGUUAAUAUUCCCGUACUUGGUGUUACUGCGAAGGGGGGACGGAGAAGGCUAUGUUGGCCGGGCGACGGUUGUCCCGGUUUAAGCGUGUAGGUGUGUGUUCCAGGUAAAUCCGGUUCACUUUAACACUGAGGCGUGACGACGAGGCACUACGGUGCUGAAGCAACAAAUGCCCUGCUUCCAGGAAAAGCCUCUAAGCAUCAGGUAACAUCAAAUCGUACCCCAAACCGACACAGGUGGUCAGGUAGAGAAUACCAAGGCGCUUGAGAGAACUCGGGUGAAGGAACUAGGCAAAAUGGUGCCGUAACUUCGGGAGAAGGCACGCUGACACGUAGGUGAAGUGAUUUACUCAUGGAGCUGAAGUCAGUCGAAGAUACCAGCUGGCUGCAACUGUUUAUUAAAAACACAGCACUGUGCAAACACGAAAGUGGACGUAUACGGUGUGACGCCUGCCCGGUGCCGGAAGGUUAAUUGAUGGGGUCAGCGCAAGCGAAGCUCCUGAUCGAAGCCCCGGUAAACGGCGGCCGUAACUAUAACGGUCCUAAGGUAGCGAAAUUCCUUGUCGGGUAAGUUCCGACCUGCACGAAUGGCGUAAUGAUGGCCAGGCUGUCUCCACCCGAGACUCAGUGAAAUUGAACUCGCUGUGAAGAUGCAGUGUACCCGCGGCAAGACGGAAAGACCCCGUGAACCUUUACUAUAGCUUGACACUGAACAUUGAGCCUUGAUGUGUAG
rnacentral:rRNA from 1 species